GGGGGGGGGGGGGGGUGGGCCUGGCGCGGGGGGGGCGGAGGGCCGGACGGUGGGAGCUUUCUCUUACGGGUGGCGAGUGGCUGACGGGCGGGGAAUCCGUCGGCGUCUACUUUUUCGUGGGGGAUCACGUCGGGCCACUUCCGCUACUAUCGCAUCCGCCCUACGGUUGACACCCGGGGAGCUUCGUACGUUGCGCGCUUGACUGAGCCGAUGUCGCCUUAGCCAGUGGGCGGGGUAAAGGCCCACCAAGGCGCCGAUCCGUAGCUGGUCUGAGAGGAUGAUCAGCCACACUGGAACUGAGACACGGUCCAGACUCCUACGGGAGGCAGCAGUGGGGAAUAUUGGACAAUGGGCGCAAGCCUGAUCCAGCCAUACCGCGUGGGUGAAGAAGGCCUUCGGGUUGUAAAGCCCUUUUGUUGGGAAAGAAAAGCAGCAGGUUAAUACCCCGCUGUUCUGACGGUACCCAAAGAAUAAGCACCGGCUAACUUCGUG
rnacentral:rRNA from 1 species